rnacentral:tRNA from 1 species
GGGUCCGUAGCUCAAUCGGCAGAGCAGGAAGCUCUUAACUUCAAGGUUCUGGGUUCGAUUCCCAGCGGGCCCA